CGUGUAGGCGGUCUGUUAAGUCUGAUGUGAAAGCCCCGGGCUCAACCUGGGAAGUGCAUUGGAUACUGGCAGACUUGAGUAUGGGAGAGGAAAGUGGAAUUCCGAGUGUAGGGGUGAAAUCCGUAGAUAUUCGGAGGAACACCAGUGGCGAAGGCGGCUUUCUGGACCAAUACUGACGCUGAGACGCGAAAGCGUGGGGAGCAAACA
rnacentral:rRNA from 1 species